GUAAGAAGGUCGUCUGCGGUAUGAUGCUGCAGGACAAAGAAUUGACUGGGAGAGUCUGCGUGAAAGCCAGGCAUGACGAAGGGCUAGCGGCUGCUCGCGAGUUAUACAAGAGAAGACGGGUAGGAUGGGCGCGGCCUCACCGACGAGGAUGGGAGGAGGAAGGAAGGGGAUAGUCAGGCAGGGAACCGCGGUGACUCGGUCGGG
rnacentral:misc_RNA from 1 species